UACGUAGGGUGCAAGCGUUGUCCGGAAUUAUUGGGCGUAAAGAGCUCGUAGGCGGUCUGUCGCGUCGGCUGUGAAAACCCGUGGCUCAACCCCGGGCCUGCAGUCGAUACGGGCAGACUAGAGUGCGGUAGGGGAGACUGGAAUUCCAGGUGUAGCGGUGAAAUGCGUAGAUAUCUGGAGGAACACCGGUGGCGAAGGCGGCAUCCUGGACCGGUAUUGACGCUGAGGCGCGAAAGCUAGGGGAGCAAACGGG
rnacentral:rRNA from 1 species